rnacentral:rRNA from 1 species
UACAGAGGGGGCAAGCGUUGUUCGGAAUUACUGGGCGUAAAGGGCGCGUAGGCGGCCUGUUAAGUCGAACGUGAAAUCCCCGGGCUCAACCCGGGAACUGCGUCCGAUACUGGCAGGCUUGAAUCCGGGAGAGGGAUGCGGAAUUCCUGGUGUAGCGGUGGAAUGCGUAGAGAUCAGGAGGAACACCGGUGGCGAAGGCGACAUCCUGGACCGGUAUUGACGCUGAGGCGCGAAAGCCAGGGGAGCAAACGGG